AAGAUACACUCCCAACGACGCACGCCCACACGACCUCUCCCCUCUCCUCCUCCUCCUCUCAACGCCCGCACGACCUCCCCCACCCCCUUCCCCCUCCCAACGGACGCCACACCACGGGCGAGCCUCCGCACGCACAUCCUCCCCGCGCCGUUCGCCGCCCCGCCGUCGCCGUUGGAGCCGCCAGCCGCAACGCCGCGGGAGACGCCCGUUGCUACCUUCGCCGUGGGCCGUCGCGGGAGUGGCCGCGGGAGCCGCCGCGCGCGAUCCAGCAACUCGGUGGCGGCCUCAUCCCCGCCACUCCGGUCGCAGGUCUCCUCCCUAACCAUGAAGUGGGUGCACGGGGGGUGAGCUCCGGCGAACGCGGCCGCGCUCCAGCCCGCGGCGCGGCGGCGCCCGCUCCCCCUCUCCUCUCCGGACGCACCGGUCUCCUCCCUAACCAGGAAGUGGGUGCACCCGGGGCGGGUUCCGGUAAACGCGGCCGUGCGCGCGUGAGCUCCGACGAACGCGGCGGCGCCCGCAUCCUUCGCCUCUCCGGUCGCACAUCUCCUCCCUUGCUACGAAGUGGGCGCACGCGGGGUGGGCUCUCUGCCAACCGCGCCAGGAGCUCUGCUUCCGCAAUGGCGGAACGAAAUUCUUAACUCUAUGUGGAUACGCCUGAAUUCGCUUUGGAUUCAUGUGUUGUAAGAUUGCAUAAUUUUAUGGCUAAGGAACAACUGCUUGUUUGCUUGUACUACCACAGGUGUAUGUGCAGACAAUGAGGGCGUCGAUGCUCAAGAGGUGCCCAGUUUCCUCAUACAAGGACGUCUGUGGAGUCUUCAAGAAAGAGAUUGGAGAAUUGCCACAAACUGUUAGUUCUUUCAUUGCAUUACAGCAUUGUCCUACACCCUGCUGAAGUAACUUGGUUACUAUAUUGAUUAGCAAAACCACACAAUCAGACUGAGCGUGCUUAGUUCAGUUGUUGGCCAAUGGAGUAUUCACCUCAAAACAGAACCUGGAUUUAUGCUCAGCUUGUUUUUAGUUUAGAAGAAACUCUGACACGAAAUUUGGCUUUCCCCUAUUCCCGGUGGUGUAGUUUUUUGCACAAUUCGACCUUGUCCCGCUUGCAAGUGCUUCUCUUGUGCAAGUCCAUGCCGCCAAAGCACAUGAUGGGAAAAAAGUCGCUGUCAAGGUUCAACACGACCACUUGGUGGAUACUUCUGUAAUUGAUAUCGCCACCGUGGAUUUAGUAGUGCUCUUCAUUAUAUUUCCCUGCAUUUGACUACAGUGUGUUCGUAACCCAAGUUCUCCAGGGACGACGACGAAUUCAUUAGUGCACCGCGACAGCCGCCGUAUCCAUCGACUGCUGUUCGUGCUCAAUCAGGGCGGGGCCAAUUGCCUAGAUUUCGCUCCCCAUGGUGCUCCCAAGCUGCAGCGACAACGAACGCUUUUUGUCCAUCCACGCCUUUCUUUCCCCCACGUCCUACAAGGCUACAACGCAUCCCUAGACUGUAUUCAUGUGGUAGUGACUCAAGCUUACGUUAUGUGUGAGCGUUUGGUUCACUGGUUGGUUUCCAGUUAUGCUUUGGGAGGCGAGAUUGGGUUCAGACGAGUCCAGCUACCUGUUCUAAUCGCAGAGGUUGAACUGCGAGUUUCAGAGGGCCAUGUGCUAGGUAAUGGUGUGAUCUAUCUAUUUUUCUUUUCUUUUGAUGAUAGCAAUUUUUUGUUCAGGCAAAGGCUUUUGUUGAUGUCUCGAUGUGAAGUUACAACGCUGGCUCAUAUAUCUUCAUAUUUUAUCCUGUCUACAAAUCUCCCAGAUUUUAGUUUCCACUUGCUUUGAAUCAACGAAAAGGAGACAUGCAAUAAUUUAGUUUCCCCUUCCCUUGUAGAGUUGAUGUUUCCUCUUCCUUUAAACUUUAAAGAGUUGAUGCACAAGAUUCAUACGGGGCCGGAGUUUGUGGAAAUUUUUCCUAAAACCAGUAUAAACAAGAACCUAUUAUGAGAUUAUUCACAUGAUUUAUUAUAGGGCAGGUAUAGAUUUGGUGCUAGGCACAAGUGAAGAAAUAGAGAUAUUUUCCAUCUCCAUGCCAUCUGUUUCUUUUUCCUUAUAAAGAACUUGUUUGUUUUCUAGAUUAUGGUUGUUCGGUUCAUGGUCCCUGCGCCCUGCACCCACAAAGGUCAGUGUUCAAGCAACAAUCUUUAGCUAAUAUACCUUUUGACAUUUGCAACCAUACCAAGGUUAAAUUAUAAAUGAGAUGUAUUUGUAGUAAAUUCAUGGCCCAAUGUUGCAGAUGCAGCUCACGAACACAUUUAUUAUUCAAGCACAGUUAGAGAGCACCCUAUUAAUCGACUGCACCAUUUUGAGUUGCUUUAUUUAUGAAGGCAUUCAUGCUUGAUCAUGUGGAAAAAAAUGUUGGCAUGCAGACCCACAGGAGGCUAUAAGAAAAUUAUCUAAUGACAUUGCAAAAUCUGAUAGAGAUUGGCUUGUCAGGAAGUGUUCUUGAACAAAGAGAUUAGCAUAAGGAAUUAUAACUGUGUUCUUUUUUUGCAGCAAACCAUUUUGAUGGUAGUUCUGGUAAGGUACGCAGUCUGUUUUAACAUUGUUUUGCUCAGACUACUCUCUCAUCCACACUUAAAAAUACAUAAUCUGCUCAUUCUAUUCAGAACAUAGUCUGUUUUAACAUUGUUUUGGGAAAGAGGUAUAAAGCACACCAUGUAACCAUUACUGUUCGUGCUAAUUAGAAGAACAAGAAGAAGAGAUGUCUAAUAUCGUAUUAAAAUAUUGUGUGAUGUUUUAGAGGAUGGCUAAGGCGGUGCAGGGAGCUGACGGCCUGUCCGCGGUGAGGAGGUGAUGGAGGAACAACCCCACACAUGAUGGGUAGGUGCAGGACGGGGAGGGCGCCGGCCAGGAAGGUGACGCUGCUGUCGGCGACAAGGUAAUCAGGAAGGCGACGAUGCUUCCGUGCGGGGAGGGGAUCAGCCUGGGGAUCUGUUCCUUCUUUUAUGGGAUAUAUGUCUCUUUUUAUUUGGCUGUCUUGCAUGAUGCGUGAUUGUAGGGGUUUUGGUGAAGUGUGUGUGGAGUUUGUAUCCUCCUCUGCGGUGGAGUACGGUCAGACAAUGUAAAUCUGAAAGUGCACACUGGAAACAUAUUAGAUUAACACUAGCCGUUAGAUUAAACUCAGUGGGCCUAAUCAUGCGGCGCGUUUAGUAAAGAUUAUGUUUGAUCUUUAUAGCACA